UACGUAGGGUGCGAGCGUUAAUCGGAAUUACUGGGCGUAAAGCGUGCGUAGGCGGUUGGCAAAGUCAGCUGUGAAAGCCCCGGGCUUAACCUGGGAAUGGCGGUUGAAACUAGUCGACUAGGAAUCUGGGCAGAGGGGGGUGGGAAUUCCACGGUGUAGCAGGUGGAAAUGGCGUAGAGAAUGUGGAGAACGCCGAUGGACGAGGACGCCCCGGGCU
rnacentral:rRNA from 1 species